CCUACGGGGGGCUGCAGUGGGGAAUCUUGGACAAUGGGGGCAACCCUGAUCCAGCAAUGCCGCGUGUGGGAUGAAGGCCUUCGGGUUGUAAACCACUUUUGGCGGGGGCGAAAUAUCGAAUGAUAAUACCAUUCGGUGAUGACGGUACCCGCAGAAUAAGCACCGGCUAACUACGUGCCAGCAGCCGCGGUAAUACGUAGGAUGCAAGCGUUAAUCGGAAUUACUGGGCGUAUAGCUUACGCAGGCGGUUAAUUCCCGGGCUCAACCUGGGAACGGCAUUUGUGACUGCUUGACUAGAGUGCGGCAGAGGGGAGUGGAAUUCCGCGUGUAGCAGUGAAAUGCGUAGAUAUGCGGAGGAACACCGAUGGCGAAGGCAACUCCCUGGGCCUGCACUGACGCUCAUGCACGAAAGCGUGGGGAGCAAACAGGAUUAGAUACCCUGGUAGUC
rnacentral:rRNA from 1 species